rnacentral:rRNA from 1 species
AUGCGACUAGCAAAGCACUCGUUGCAGAUUCAGCCACAUCGACGAGCGUCAGUCGGCGUGCGGAUUCGAAUGGACCGUCGCCGAUUCGAGGGCGUGUCGGUGUGUCGCAAUUCUGCCCUGUGCGAGCCAACGUCGAUCGGUCGUCGACGUUCGGUCGUUUCGUCAGGUGGUCCGCGGCUUCGGUCGCGGUCGUUAUAGACGUGGCGACAAGGACGUCGCGGCGGAUCGAGGAGACGAGUUGUCUCGGUGGCGGCCUGCGCGCUUCGGUGCUAGAGGCGGUCGGCACGCGUUUGGCGUCGUGACUCGGACUGCAUGCAGUGCGUGAGACGGUCGUCGAAGCGUGUCGGUCAGUCUUUCAUAAGUAGGCCUAGGUCGUUGGCGGUGAAAUGGUCUCAUCCGACCCGU